ACCCAAGCUGAUUCCCUCUUCCAAGGGGCUAUUGGGUGCCCCUCUUCAGGAAAGUAGCAACUUGGAAUAAUAAAAUCUGGCAUGCUUCAGGACUCCGGAGAAGAGAGGCUGCUGCUUUUCCUUCCUUUGGCUGCCAACAUGU
rnacentral:snoRNA from 1 species